CUCGCGUUGGAGGAGCUUGCUCUGAGCUGCUGCCACCUGCUGGGCUGGAGCUGGAGCUGGAGCUGCGAAUUCGGAGUCCCGGUUCCCUGUGCCACCUGGCGAGCUCAGCAAACUAAAAGUCUCUUUGUCUUCAUCGUUUCCGGCACUGAUGUGAGCACAUCAUAAGCACAAGACCUGGACACCUUUACAAUCAGAGGGCCUAGGACUGGAGCUCUGGAUCUGACCGGAGCAAAGAGGAAGCACGCAAAUCCGGACAUGACGACGAGGAGGCAGUAGAGACCCAUCCUCAACUGUUCUUGUCCUAGAGCCUCUUUCCCUACUUCUAAAUGAGUGGAAAGCCACCCACAAGCCCGUGAGUGAGGAUGCCCUUGGUAAACCCAGGUGAUCACACCCUGGGCAGGCCCUGCCCCACAGGGCCCCAUCCCGCUGCUCCCCAGCCUGUCCUCACCAACUGCCCAGGCAGGAGCAAAGCCCACGGGGAGGACCUGUGACCACAGGCAAGGACCACGGACCCCAGCCCCAGGGAUUUUGACCUCAAGAAAGGAAACAUCCACAAUUUACCCUCCAUCUGGUGAUCCAGCUGCAUCUGGGGUGGGUUUGGUCUCUGCUGGGACCAUGAGGUUCAGACCACCAAGAAAUAGCACUAGCACAGGUGAAAAUCAUGGGCAAACUUUAUUGGCAUAAAUCACAGGAAUUGAAAUGGGAAAAGCCAGCUUGGAAGUUUAC
rnacentral:lncRNA from 1 species